UGAUAUUGUUGCAUUUUUUAAGUGGUUUUUUUUUGUUUUAUUAUUAUCAUAUUCAAUUGCAGUGUAUAUUUUCAACUGGAUCCCAUAGAUUGAACAGCUGUAUCAUUGCUACAGGAUAACUUUGUCAUUCAGUUGACAUUUGAACAAUUUUAAACAUGUAUCCCCCAACAUCCCCUCAUUCUUCGAUCUUAUUAUGCAUGGAUCAGCAUAAAGUUAUCAAAGUCAAUUACCAUACUAAGUCUUA
rnacentral:lncRNA from 1 species